GGAAAUGGUCGGCGAUUGAAUGACUGAAUGAAUGGCUCCAUAUGAGAAGGUAUCCUUCCAAUGAUUGAAUAUCUAUUUCUUGAAUAACUGUUUAUUACUGUGCAAAAUGUGCAAAUUGUUAAAUGUAAUAUUUUCGUGUUUUAUCUACCUGAUUGCUUGUUAGGGAACCUCACUGGACUUUUAAUUCAUUCCAUUAGUUUAUUUUCUUUACAGAAGUGGAGGCUAAAGCAAGUAAGCAUGAACUAGUGUGUAUAAGUUUCAUAUACUUGUAUUUUGCAGAUGGAAUGUAUUUGGGGAUAUUUGGUAAUGUAAUCUUUUGUUUCACUUUUGGAUUGUAAUUAAGUGUGAAUUAUUGGUUGAAUGGAACUUUUAGCUGGAGACGUGAAAGACUAUUUCAAGAAUGUUAGUGAGCGAGUCCUGGCGGAAGCUGGGCAGGCGGUCUGCCAAAUUCUUGGGUUCGCUCUAGACAGAGAUGGGGGCAUCACAGGUGAUAUCAAAGUCGCCUCACGUGGUCUCUGCGUGGGGUGAGCUUGAGUCAAAUAGUGUUAUGGUCCUGAUUACGUGAAUGAGUGUAAAGGAUUAAGUAUUCUCCUUGAACAUAAGUUGUGAGUCAUGAAUGUUAUAGGUAUACAACCUUUAUCAUGAUACUUGGAGAAGAUAGAUAUGUACGUCAGGUAGGAAUCUCUAAUAUAGGUGAUUUACUCUCGGCAUCGGCUAGCUUGAGUUGUGUAUUAUCUUAUUUCAGAUUCUUGUACCAAAGUACUCAAGAGUUGAGGGCAAUACUAAAGAUGCAAGGUGAUAGAAUUCGAGAGCUUGAGACCUCCAUUCGCGAGGAAAAAGAACGGACUAAUGUUUUGCGAGAGUAAGUGCAAGAGGUCAACAGACGUCUAGUUCGGGUGGUAAGAGAAGUGAGAGAUUGGACAAAGUUAACCGAGUGUGGGAUGUUUGUAGAGGAGGUAGUAUAAGUGAACGUUGCAAAGGGUAUGAGAGCUCAUGAAAUUAUAUAUAUAUACACAUUAUAUAUUUUUAUGUUAUCUUCGUAUGUUACCAAAAGCAUUGCAUACACCAUACGGUUGAUCAAAUUAUACGUGUAAUUGAUUUCCUAUAAAUUGAAUGUAUGGAGAUACCUAAAUUGAUGCAAGAAAAUAAACUAAUGCCAAAUGAUCCUUUUAACCCUAAGACUUGGUCAAAACUACCAUGCGACCUAUUAGUAAUCUGGUUCCUUGAAUAACAACCGAAA
rnacentral:lncRNA from 1 species